rnacentral:rRNA from 1 species
AUUGAACGCUGGCGGCAUGCUUUACACAUGCAAGUCGAACGGCAGCGCGGGCUUCGGCCUGGCGGCGAGUGGCGAACGGGUGAGUAAUGCAUCGGAACGUGCCCAGUAGUGGGGGAUAGCCCGGCGAAAGCCGGAUUAAUACCGCAUACGACCUGAGGGUGAAAGCGGGGGACCGAAAGGCCUCGCGCUAUUGGAGCGGCCGAUGUCGGAUUAGCUAGUUGGUGGGGUAAAGGCUUACCAAGGCGACGAUCCGUAGCUGGUCUGAGAGGACGACCAGCCAAACUGGGACUGAGACCCGGCCCAGACCCCUACGGGAGGCAGGAGUGGGGAAUUUGGGAAAAGGGGGGCAACCCUGAUCCAGCCAUGCCGGGGGGGGGAAGAAGGCCUUCGGGUUGUAAACCGCUUUUGUUGGGGAAGAAAUCCUCUGGGGUAAUACCCCGGGGGGGUGACGGUACCGGAAGAAUAAGCACCGGCUAACUACGU